UCCUAGAUGGUCUAUGGUGUGAGGAUUCCUGGCUUUCACCCAGGCGGCCCGGGUUCGAUUCCCGGUGUAGGAA
rfam:Ciona savignyi cont_34099, whole genome shotgun sequence.